rnacentral:rRNA from 1 species
UACGGAGGGGGCUAGCGUUGUUCGGAAUUACUGGGCGUAAAGCGCGCGCAGGCGGUUGCUCAAGUCGGGCGUGAAAUCCCGGGGCUUAACCCCGGAACUGCGUUCGAGACUGGGCGACUCGAGUCCGGGAGAGGGUAGCGGAAUUCCCAGUGUAGAGGUGAAAUUCGUAGAUAUUGGGAAGAACACCGGUGGCGAAGGCGGCUACCUGGCCCGGUACUGACGCUGAGGCGCGACAGCGUGGGGAGCAAACAGG